rnacentral:rRNA from 1 species
UGGGGAAUAUUGCACAAUGGGCGCAAGCCUGAUGCAGCCAUGCCGCGUGUAUGAAGAAGGCCUUCGGGUUGUAAAGUACUUUCAGCGGGGAGGAAGGUGGUAAGGUUAAUAACCUUGGCAAUUGACGUUACCGACAGAAGAAGCACCGGCUAACUCCGUGCCAGCAGCCGCGGUAAUACGGAGGGUGCAAGCGUUAAUCGGAAUUACUGGGCGUAAAGCGCACGCAGGCGGUUGAUUGAGUCAGAUGUGAAAUCCCCGGGCUUAACCCGGGAACUGCAUUCGAAACUGGCAGGCUAGAGUCUUGUAGAGGGGGGUAGAAUUCCAGGUGUGGCGGUGAAAUGCGUAGAGAUCUGGAGGAAUACCGGUGGCGAAGGCGGCCCCCUGGACAAAGACUGACGCUCAGGUGCGAAAGCGUGGGGAGCAAACAGG